AUCUUACAAGCCUGCCACACAAGGGCUUUCUGCAAUCAACAAAAGAAGAGAGAAACCAAAGCAAAAUCCGGGAAAUGAAGUCCAGAAAUUCCCUGAAGCAGAACUCUUUGUAGGACUUAGGAUGCUGGUCAUCAACAAGUUCCAUUGCAGGACCCAUCUUUGUGUCCAUUGCAAAACUGUGAAGACUCACAAUGGAAAACCUCUUCUCAUCCCCAUUAACCGUUGCUCGGUGAAUCACACUCUUGUAUUGUCCAUUGCUCAUAACUUCCAUUUGGUCACCCAACUGCACCACAAGCGCUCCUUCAACGAAAGGCACGGCCAUCCAGUUGUUGUUUUUGUCCUUGAUUUCUAGGCCUGAACGGGUUUGGAGCAGCACAGUUAUGGACCCGUAAUCAGAGUGAGGGUGGAUGCCUAAGGUGAGUCCAGGUUCCGGACAUGCAGGGUAGCAAUUCACUGCAAGUGUUUGCGACCCUCCAUUGAUUUCUUCAUGUAAGUAACUGCGGUUUAAUCCUAGGCUUUCAAAAAUCAUUUCCAGCAGUUGAUUUUGUAGAAUCUGCACAGCUUUCACGUACUUUCCCAUGCUCUCCCUGCAACACAAGUUGCGUGUAUAUUUUAUAUAUGCUUGCAGAGAAGCUUUCAUUAUGGCUAGUAAAAUUGUCACGGAGAUUUCGAAACUUCGUUAUAGUAAUACCUGUAAUUUGAGGGAUUUGAAGGCCACAUGUGAAUCCAAUCUGAUAUUGGAUGAGAGUAGUGUUUGAUGAAAUCUCUCCAGCAGUAAACUUCAUCCCUAGCUUGAUUAAGGCUUGUUCCGUACCUCACAGGUUUGUGAACAUCUUCAGAAAACAAACGCAUCUUUUCAUCACUAGGAAGGUUGAAGAACUCUGUUGAGACUUUUAGGGCUUCAUCCAUCACUGAUUGAUCAAUCCCAUGGUUAAUAACCUACAAAAAAGUCUCAUGUAAAUACAUAACAUAGUAUAACAUAAAUGUGUGUUUGAGCAGGUGCUAUAUAUACAUAUAUAUACCUGGAAGCAUCCUAUCUCUUUGCAGGCAAUUCGAAUUUCAUUGAUGGUUGAUUUAGAAACAAGAGAUUGAUCACGCAAAGUAGACAAAUCUAUAAUGGGAAGAGUGGUGGAUAUUGGAAGAUGAGGGCUAGGUCGUUGUGAAGGUGGAAGAACAUAACGUUGAGGUAUAGAAGACACUCCAAGCUGGUCAAGACUAACAGCACUGGUAAAUGAAGAAGCACCAUUUCCCCGUUGCUCCAUUGUUUCUCUUCCCAAAUGUUACCUUCGAUGGUGUUGAUUUGAGACAGAGCCAGUCACAAAUAUAUUUAUAAGCGUCCUAGUGCAUAUGUCGCAUUCAUGAUCGUCCUCUAUCUGUAUUUCUUUAGGUUGUUCACUUACAUUGUACAUGCAAGAAAGUACAAAAAAUUGUUUUUCGUUCGGAAGUGAGUGUGGAUUUAAUGGUAGUAAGCCCUAGAUUUGAGUGACGAUGAGAGUUGAAGUCAAAAGGAAAGAAAAAAAGAGAGCAAAGUGAUGAAGGAAUUUUUAUGGAGUUAAUGCUGGUGGAAAAAAAAAAGGUGGCUUGGCCUAUUUGGUCUUUUUUUUGUUGGAUAAAUUUUUGGGACUUUUUGCAUGGAGAUUGUUUUGACUUUGGUUAUAUUCAGCAGUUCAGCAGCUGCCACGUGUGCGUGUAGCUAUAAUCAAUAGUUUAUUUGAUUAUGAAUGCGUUCCUCAUA